GGGAUUUCCUCACGCAAAAGGAGUCAUCAGCUGACUCUAGGACAUUUACCAGCAUAUGAUCUCCUUGGGUCUUCAUGGGUGCCAGCUAGCCCUCAUACUGUCCUCUGCAAGUGUGUCAAGCAUAGAUCUUCUGGGAGCCAGAAGAUCACCUGCUGCCUCAAAAGGAGCACUGCUUUGUUACUCCUUCCCUAGCAGAGAUGUGAGAGAUGCAUGUUGUUGCCAUGAAAUUUUCUGAAUGAAUCCAUGUGGAUGAUUGUUCCUAUGUUGAAG
rnacentral:lncRNA from 1 species